UACAGAGGGGGGCAAGCGUUAUUCGGAAUUAUUGGGCGUAAAGGGCGCGUAGGCGGCUUUUCAAGUGACGGGUGAAAUCCCUCGGCUUAACCGAGGAACUGCCUGUCAGACUGGAAGGCUUGAGACCGGGAGAGGUGAGUGGAAUUCCCAGUGUAGCGGUGAAAUGCGUAGAUAUUGGGAGGAACACCAGUGGCGAAGGCGGCUCACUGGACCGGAACUGACGCUGAGGCGCGAAAAGCGUGGGGGAGCGAACAGG
rnacentral:rRNA from 1 species